GCGGAGACGGGGCGGGGCCUGAGCGGGGGGCGGGGCGGCCCUGCAGGCCCCGCCUCGGCCCGCGCGCCUGGAACAAAGGCGCCCGCGCGCCCUUGGGGAGGACCCCCGCCCGUCGCCCGCCGCCGCGCCUGCGCCCCGCGACCCCCGGACAGGCCCCGGCUGGGGGAGCGCGCGCCGCCCGCGGUCGACCUGCCAGUCCCUCCGUCCCGCAGAGCUACCUCACGCGGCCCCGGACACAGUCUGGCGGCCACGGCCGGCCCCGUCACGCGCGGCAGCCUCGCGCCGACCCGGCCGUCAGUCGCACACGCCGGCUGCCCAGCCCACUGUCCCGCACAGGCCCGGCCGCAGCAGUUCCCUCAAGCCCGCUUCCGGAGCGCCGCCCGCGCAGCGACCGGGAGGAGAGCAGCCACUCCCUAGACUCACCCCUGCAAUCUAGCUGCCCCUGUCACAGAACACCGCCCAAACUAAAGACACCUGCGGUCACAGUGGAGCCUGUCUGACGGAUGUUGAGCCAGGCAGAGCCAGACAGAGCAGGACAACGUACUGCACGUCAGAGGUAAGAGGCUCAGCAGAGCACUCAGCUGAUGCUAGAGAAAGAUCCAGGCUUCCAGGAAUGUGUGAGUACAUAUAUGUGUGUGUUCGGGCUUUCCCCCCAUCUGGGUGGUGACUAGUGUCUGGGGCUACCUCUGACUUUGUCUUGCUGUAGUGGUAGCAUGUGUGUGUGUGUGUGUGUUUUGAUCCCCUCAAGUGCAACCCCCAAGGAGCUGAGAAUUCAGCCUGCAGUUGAGGUGUUUGUGCUAGUAGGAUUCAGCUACCCAAGGGGAGGUGGAGUGGCUGAGAUGGGCUGCCACCUAGUGACAGGCCUUUAAAGUAGGAGGGAGGGAAUGAAAGUUGACCCAAUGCCCGGCCCAGCAUUACAAGGUUUACAACAUGUUAUCACACCUGAUCCUCAUAAUUACUCUAAUCAGGGAUGAUUGUUCCCAAUUUACUGAUGAGAAACUGAGAUUCAGAGAAGUUCUACAGCUUGCCCCAAGGCCACAUAACUAACAAAUGGGGAUUUGAACCCAAAUCUGUCUGAUGCCAUGCAUUUUCUGCCUCACAGGAAAGCCACUGGCUUCAGUAGGUGCUGGUGGUCAGUGGACAGUGGACACGGAGGCUAGCUGGCUAAUCAGCAAGGGUGAGGGGAGGCCCUGGGGGUGGCUGGCUCUGGGAGUGGCUGGCCCUGGGCACAGGAAACCUGAGUGCAGAACUUGAGUGCUUGCAGCGUGUGGUUUGGGCUUGCUGGGGCUUGAAGUGGUGCUUGCCCCUGUCUGCGGCCUUGAGCUUCUCUGUGCUAGGUGUCGGAACCAUGAGUCAGGAGAACAAGAGAAACUCAGCACCAGCGCCCCGGGAAUUCACAGACAUUAGAUAAACACUUUGUUAUGUAGGGACAAUUAUCAUGGAGGCUAUGGAGAAAAAGAACAGAGGACUAUGAGCUAAAACAUUAGGGAGACUUACUUGAGAUCUAGUAGACAAGAAGACAUCAGCAGAGGCCUAAAGGAUGUGAGGAGAUGGCUGGGUGAAUUAUUAGAGGUGGGUUGGAGGAAAGUACUUUCCAGGCAGAGGUAACAGCAUGUACAAAGGCCCUGAGACCAGAAAGAGCUUAGUAAGUUUAGGAAUAGAAAGAGGGCUAGAGUUUACUAAAUGAGAGGGAACACGGGAGGUGAUGAGGCCAGGAAGACAGGUUGGGGCUGACUGGGCCCCUCCCUGCUUAUCUGAUCUAAUCCGUUUUUCCAGGAGGCCUCCUAAGUGCUGCAGCCCUCAUUUACUUCUUGGGCCAACUUGGGCAGCCUGUGGGUGGUGAUGCUUUUUAAAAAUCUCCAUUUUUCCAUUUUCUGAGAGCUUCCCGACAUGUAGCCCAUGCUUCCUUGCUUUUGCUUUUACUUUUGCCUCUGGGUCCGGGCCUCCGGGGGCUCCAGAAAUCCCUGCCAACAGGAUCUCAAGUUUUCAGUCUAGUGCCAGGCUCUUAAUCAGGAAGCAGGGCCCCAUUUUUUCCUGGGACUUCUGAGCCAGCAUCCCAGGUCUCAGGUGCCUCCCUCCACCAAAGUAGGUUCAGGAAAAGCAGGGUGUGCAGAGGGUGUGACUGGUAUGGGCUUCCCCCAGCUCAGCAUAUAUAUGGGUACGUGGGUGUUACUGGCAGUGCCUGCAGCUGCGCUGGCUGGGAGGGAGCAGCCCAGCACCCACGCAAGGCCCACACAGAUGACAUCACCAAAGCUAGCCCGGCUUGGGCCUAUUUCUGUCAACACUCAUGCUUCAGCAUGCUCCGGCUAUGCCAGUACCUGUGCCUGGAGUUUGGGGGGGAGUCCCAGCCGAGUUGCCCCUUUGGCCUUGUGGGCCUGACCCCACAGGUGUUUAUUUAGCAAACACUUAGAACAGCACUUGGCAUGUAGUAUAACUGCUUUACCCCCUUGGCUCAUUUACUCUUCAUUACAGCACUGAGAUAAGUUCUCUCAUUAUCCCCAUUUCACAGAAAAAAAAUUGAGGCAUGGAGAGGUUGAGAGGCAUACUCGUGGACACAUAGCUAAGAGGUGGCAGAGAUGGGAUUCAAACCCAUCCAGAGUCCAUGCUGUGUUGCCUUCCAUGUAGAUUAUACGGGCACCAGGUACAGAGUGGAAAAGGAAGGGAAUGGAAACACUUGCAAGAAGAUGUCUGUAUAACGGGAAUCCUGGGUGGAAAAGCGGAACAAACCAAGAUGAGUAUAUAAAGAUGUGAAUGAGCUCAGGACAAUCUUUUCAGUAACUGGAGCAUGUGUUACUGUGGCUCUCAGAAGUCCUGAUCCUUUCAAUGACCUGGGAGACCAGAAGUAGUGUAAUGCUGGCUAUGACCACAAGCAGACCAAUCCAAGUUUCUAGAAAGGGGGCAAGGACAGGGUACAUCAAAGGGACACAUUUCAGCUGUGCUUUUUUACCCUUGACUAACCAAAUUUUUUAAAUUGUCAAAAAUCUGUAAGUCAUAUCAUGCUUGAGUUAAAUUUUUUGAAGGAGCAGAGAUGGAGCAGAAAGGUGUAACAGUAUUACAUGCAAGAAGUGAAUGAGCAAAAUAUAGAUACAAGAGCAAGCAAAGAAUCUCAGGAGAAAUCCCUGGAGGCUGAGCAGAAAGGUGUACAGCAGAGCCCCAUGAUGGUGGCAGCCUCCCAUAAACUGGACCUAAAGUCCUCCAUGAAGUAAAACCACCAGUUACCACCCUUCACCCUCUAUGACAAAAACUUACUCUUCACAGACUUUUGGGUCAGAUCAGGUCAAUGAAUUCAUGCUUUAAUCAUCACUGUACUCCAAACAUGUAGCAAUGAAAGUGCUCCAUGCAAGAAGGGGCAACCUGAAACCAGGGGCUGUGUUAGCAUGGGCUGAGCUGGGUUAGAAGACUCGCUCCAAGACAGGAGGUAUGAGCAGAGAAGUGGAGAGCAAAGAGGAGGAAAAGGGAAUGAUACACAGACAAAAACUACUUCCCGUUCAAAAGGGUUUACAAACAAAUUCCAAAAUAUAUGAGGAAAAUGGGUUAGAAGAACUGCCAACAAAAUAAUUAGUACAUGAAUUCACUUCAGGUAACAUUUUAAAGAACAAAGACUUUCAAGAGAAAAAAAUAUAUAUAACAUCUACUAAAAAGGACAAAAGAAUGAUAAAAUAAGCACAUGUCUUAAAUGAAAUGAAAUCAGGUAAAUAUGAAAUAAAAAUAAUUAGAAAUCCUGAAAACAAAAAUAAUAAUUGAAACAAAUUAUAGGUGGGAUAAACUUUAGAUUGGAUAUAAUCAAAAAGAGAAUUAGUGAACAGAAGUAAGUCUCUAGCACUCCCCUGAAAAUGAAGACCAGACCUAAAGAGACAAAUAAAUGAGAGGAAUGGCCUAGAAGCUAUGGAAGAAAUAAUGGCCGAGAGUUUUCUAGAAUAAAAAUGCUUUUGUCCUCAAAUUGAAAGUCUAGUCUGAGUAUCUUUAAAAAUAUAUGUAUAUUUAGAUACACCAUAGAUCGCCAAUAAUAAAGAUGCAUUCUUUACUGGAGAAAAGACAGAUCAUAAGAACGAAGAUAAAGAAACUUUCAGAUAAAAGAAAAAUUUGCCACCUAUGGAAACUCACUAAAUAAAUGAUAAAGGAUGUAUUUCAACAAGUAAACCCAGAGAGAAGGUACUGAGUACAGAAAUUAAUCAAGUAUUUGACUGUGACAAUAGCUGACUAGUGAGAAGUUAAGGUUUCAUGGAUGAUUGUUUUUUUAAAAAUAUAAAAAUAGUGUCACUAUAUAGAAACUCCAAAAAGACACAGACACUUUAAGAGUUCAGCAAUGUUGCCAGAUAGAAGAUCAAUAUUAAAAAAAUCAACAGCAUUACCACUCCAGUAACAACAAACAAAAAUGUAACAACGAAAAAUACUUAUUCAAUAGCACAAAAAACUAUAAGGUCUCUAAGAAAAGUUUAAAAAAAUGUGUAAUACCUCUAUGGAGAAAAUUACAAAACAAUAUUGAAGGGUAUAUUCAAAGAUAUGAAUUAAUAGAGAGGUAUAACAUGUUCAUGGAUUGGAAGAUUCAGUAAAAUAAUCUCAAUAUUUUCUCCCUAUUAAUCUAUAAUUUCAAUGCAAUCUUAUAAGAAAAGUCUCAAUCGUCUUCAUUAGAACUUGAAAAAUUUAUCUCAGAAUUAAUGUGGAACAGCAGAGAGCCAAGACAAUUUUGAAGAAUGAGACGAAGGAAACUUGUCCGACUCAAUAGUAAGAGUUUAUAAAGCUACAGUAGUUGAGACAGUAUGCUACUGAUGAAGAAACAGACAAAUGAAACAGGACAGAGAGCCCAGAAACAAUAUGACAUAUGUGUACAAAUGUGAUAUAUGACAGAAGGGUAACACAACUAAAUUGUUCUGGGACAACUGGUUAUGCAUUUGGGAAAAAUACAUUAGAUCUCAACCUCACACCAUACACAAAAAUACAUUCUAGUGGAUCAAAGAUCCAAAUAUAAAAAGCAAAAUCUUAGAAACAUAUGGAAAAAAGAGAAACUUGUGCUCAAUGUUGGGAGGAUGGUGGUGAUGUAAACUCGUUCAAGUACUUUAGAGAACAAUUUGGAAAUAUCUAAUAAAGAAUUUUUAAGGGACAUUUUCAUCUGUAUACACAAGGAAAAUGUGUUUAUGCCAGCACUAUUUAUAUUAGCUAAUGACUGUAAACCCGAAGUGUCUCUUGACAAGAGAACAGAUAAUUUUUUUUUUUUGCGGUACGCGGGCCUCUCACUGUUGUGGCCUCUCCCUUUGCGGAGCACAGGCUCCGGAUGCGCAGGCUCUGGACGCGCAGGCUCCGCGGCCAUGGCUCAUGGGCCCAGCCACUCUGCGGCAUGUGGGAUCUUUCGGGACCGGGGCAAGAACCCAUGUCCCCUGCAUCAGCAGGCGGACUCCCAACCACUGCGCCACCAGGGAAGCCCCAGAUAAUUUUUUAUAUAAUAGAAUACCAUGUAGCAAAUAAAAUGGAUAAAUUAGAAAUGUAUAUCAAGAUAAUAAAAUCUCAACACCAAAGCUGGGUGAAAUAAGUUGCAGAACGAUCUCAAUAACAUAUCUAAUUUAAAAUCAAACCUUGUAAAACAAUACUACAUAUUGUUCAUGCACACAUAAUACACUGUAAAAAUACAAAAAUACACACAAGAAUGAAAACAUUAAAUUCAAUAUAGUAUUCUCUAGGGAAAGAGAUGAAUGGUACCUAGUGGGCUUCAAGCUAUGGUUUUCAGAAUACUUUUUAUGAAAUGAAGCAACUGAAAUAGGACAUGGCGUUAAGGUUUGACACAGCCAGAUGGUAGGUAUAUAAGUGUUCAUUAUUUCUAUUCUUGUAUAUUUGAAAUAUUUCAUUGAAAAUAAAAUCCCUGUUACUUGUAUCUUUCUAUUUUUUAUCUAAAAAGAGAAUGCUUCUCCUGCUGGCAGUGCAGUUAAAAAACCAUUUAACAUGCUGUCAAAACCUCGACCUCUGAAGAUCUGUUCUGCUGAGUGGGACAUAACCGAGGAGGACUGACAGAAAGCUUAAGAAAUCACAUUUAUUUUCCCCUCAACAGUACCACUUGCCAAAGCUUUAACCAUUUUUCAUGACUCAGGAUCCCAACCCAGUUGCUAGAGUGAGCCACUCUGUCCUGGGUAUAAGGUUCUAGGCAGGGCCUACAUCUAGGUGGCUUUCUAGGUUUACUACCAUAACCAUCACUCAGAAACCUGCACAAAUCCUUACAGUGCACAGCAGUUAUCUGGAUAUUGUCUGAAUAAAAAUUGGCUGGCUCUCUGCCCUUGAGGAGCUCCACCAGCUUGUCUAACGAGUCUCUUAACCCUCAGAGACUCUCCUACUAUCGACUCUAAUCCUGCCUGUAGACCACACAUGUAUUUGGCAUCUGUUCCCCUCUCUCGACCCCCACUGCCAUCAUCUUGUCUAGGUCAUUGCCAUUUCUUGCCUGGAGUACUGCAACAACCUCCUACUGGUCUCCCUACUUCCUGUCUGUGUCCAAUCCAGUCUCCACAGAGCAGCAGUCAGAAUGAUCAGUUAUAUCACAGGUUACUAAAACACAAAUCGCAUUAUUCCCCUCUUUAAAACCCCGUGGCUUCCUACUGGAUUUGGAUAAUAGACAAAAUUUUAGGGACUUCCCUGGCAAUCCACCGGUUAAGACUUUGCCUUUCAAUGCAGGGGGUUGUGGGUUCUAUCCCUGGUUGGGGAGUUAAGAUCCCACAUGCCUCGUGGCCAAAAAACCAAAAUAUAAAACCAGAAGCAAGGGCUUCCCUGGUGGCGCAGUGGUUAAGAAUCUGCCUGCCAAUGCAGGGGACAGGGGUUCAAUCCCUGGUCCCGGAAGAUCCCACAUGCCACAGAGCAGCUAAGCCCAUGUGCCAGAACUACUGAGCCGGUGCUCUAGAGCCCGCGAGCCACAACUACUAAAGCCCGCGUGCCACAACUACUGAAGCCCACGCACCUAGGGCCUGUGCUCCGCAACAAGAGAAGCCACCGCAAUGAGAAGCCCGCACACCGCAACGAAGAGUAGCCCCCGCUCCCCGCAACGAGAGAAAGCCAGUGUGAAGCAACGAAGACCCAACGCAGCCAAAAAUAAAUAAAUAAAUUAAAAAACAGAAACAAAAAACAGAAGCAAUACUGUAACAAAAUUCUAUACGGACUUUAAAAAUGGUCCACAUUAAAAAAAAAAAAACUUAAAAUUUUUUUUAAGGAAGACUCAGAAGAUCUAGCCUGCAUUCCUCUCUCCAGUCUCCUCUCAUCAUGCCUCUUUCUUGCUCAUUAUACUCCAAUUACGGUGUUCACCUUUCAGUCCUCAAGAACACGCAGCUCCUUCUUACCUCAGGGAUUUCAAAAGGCUAUUUUCUUUGGAAUGCCCAUUCCCCUGUCCUUUCCAUGGAUAAAUCCUAUUCAUUCUGUAAGUCUCAUCUUAAAUGUAACUUUCUCAGAAAGGCGUUUCCUAAACCCCAGAAGCCAGAUCAGGUGCCCUGGCAUACUCUCAAAUAGGUACCCUGUAUCCUUUGCAGCAUGUACAACAGUUUGUAUUUAUUGAUUUGAUUAUGUGUAAUGCCUGUAAAUCUUGCUCAAGUCGGGUUAUGCUCAAGACACUCCUCUGUUCCAAGCCAGUGGUUCUCCAUCAAAUGCAGAACAUGGUCUAGUCGCUUUAGCAUGGCAUUUAAGGCUGGCAACAGUUUGGCCUCUCAGAGAUUAAAUUUAUCUGUAAAACGA